GCUCUGAGCUGUCAGCAUGGAACCCGACGUGGGGCUCAAACCCAUGAAUGCGGGAUCAUGACCUGAGCCGAAGUUGGAUGCUCAACCGACUGAACCACCCAGGUGCCCUUAUUUAUUUGCAUCUUUAAUGGACUCAUUCCCUGUCUCAUCCAUUUUUUUCUUUAAAUUCUACGCCUGUGUGUGCACACCCAGCCCAACCCCCCAAAUGGCAAAGUGUUGGUGUCAUUAAAUCCGUCUUGAGAAAGGAGAACUGUGCUUCCCUCUUGAGGUCAAGGCUGGUGCCCAACCUACCACUCUUGUUUUCCUGGUAAGCGCUUUGCGGACAGAGCGUGGGAGGCAGGUUGGGAACCUUCUGCACUUUUCUGCCUGGACCGAAAGUAACUCAUCCUGUGAGCAGAUGGAGAAACCAAGAGCUUGCGUGGUGACAAAUCAUCGGUGCCGCAGACUCUGACCUGCUCCCCGCCCCCCCCGCUCCACUCCCCAUAUUCCACCAGUUGGCUUUCCCCUGUGAACUGUCUCCUUCCUUCCUGCUUUCCUUCCUUCUCUUGGGCCGAGAUCCCUGUGACAGGGCCUAGCAUAGCGCCUCUGACGGUCGUGGAUGUGUUUCUGAUCGUGUGUGACAUGGCUCAUUGGGCAUUUUAAUGUGGACCAAGAAAUGGAGAGUAAGCAUCACGUAUCCGGCUUGGGACGGAGCCAGUGUUCAAUUGACUCUCUCAAAGUAGGCAAUAUGGUGCUCUUGCAAGCAUAGGAGGUGAUGACUGAAGCUGGGCAGCCUUGAGGGUCCAGCGGGCCCAGACCUGCACCAGCCUGGCCGUCUGCUGCUUGGAUGACCUCAUAGAAAUGCAGCCUCACCCCUUGAAUCUCCGGCUCCCACCAAAGAGCGGGUCUCUUCAACUUAGGAGUGACAGACACGCAGCGCCCUCUCGAGGCAAGUGGCCAUUAGCAGGUGCAUUUUAAGUGUUUCUUGCGCAUCUUUUGUACUUCAUUUCUUUUCGUGGUCUGAGCAGGAUGGGGUUGUGGAUACAGCACGCAGUAGAGGCAGAAACAAUGUAUCUUUAGCGGGCUGCUGGCUUCAAAGGGCUUCUGAUGUGUCCCCACCCACUGUGAUGUUGAAAGGCUGGAUGGCCGACACCUCAAAGUGUCCGCUUCAGGGAAGGUCCCGCCUAUCCGCCGUUUGUUGAAUUUUUUAAAAACACCAACAUUAAAGAAUUCUAUUAAAUGC